GGGAAAAUGGAAGUGAGAGGGGAUCCUGUUUAUGUGAGGGCAGCCUGCGAGUCAAGCUUGAAGAGGCUUCAGGUUGAUUGGAUUGAUCUCUAUUACCAGCAUCGGAUCGGUACUCAAGUCCCCAUUGAAGUCACGAUGGGAGAGCUAAAAAUGUUAGUGGAAGGAAAGAUAAAGUAUAUCGGACUAUCUGAAGCUUCUGCUUCAACAAUUAGGAGAGUAUAUGCUGUUCAUCCCAUAACAGCAGUGCAAUUGGAGUGAUCCUUGUGGUCAAGAGAUGUUGAGGGAGAUAUAAUUCCUACUUGUAGGUCAGUUACAUAUGCAUCCACUGUAUAUAUAAUAUCUUGGGGAAACGGUCCUCGGUCAUGUGAAAAGACUACCCUACCUCCUGAACUGUCUCCGGCCAUACAUCCACUUGUUCUUCCAUUGACCUGCGCUGGCACAAUACCCAGCUGACAGGGACAGUUCUAUCUCUCUUUUUUUUAUUUUCCUUCUGAGAAAUUUAUAUUUGAAAAUUCUAACUUCUCAUCUUUUUUUUUCCCGUUGACUUCUCAUGGAGCUUGGAAUUGGUGUUGUCGCGUAUAGCCCUUUAGGGAGAGGCUUCCUUUCAUAUGGACCAAAGCUUUAUGAAAAUUUAACUGACAACGACCGCCGACAGACUAAAAAUUAAUCAAGGGAAGAAGAACAUUGCCCGGUUGCUUGCCCUUGCACCAUGCAGGGGCCAAUGAAGGGGUAUACACAGGCAUUAAUAGGAUGGGAUUUUGUAUUUCACAGAGGCAGGGUUUACCAAGGUUCCAACCUGAGAAUCUAGAGCACAACAAAAAGAUAUUUGAGUAGGUGAAUGAAAUUGCAACGAGAAAGGGGUGCACCCCGGGUCAGCUUGCAUUGGCAUGGGUUCACAACCAAGGAAGUGAUGUGUUUCCGAUACCGGGAACCACCAAGAUUGAAAACCUUAACCAGAACAUCGGUGCUUUAUCAGUGAAAUUAACAACUGAAGAAAUGGCUGAACUCGAGUCCUUGGCUUCAUCAGUUCCUGUCAAGGGUGACAGAUACCCACCAACCGUGAAAACUUGGAAGGAUUCAGAAACCCCUGAUCCAUCAACCUGGAAAGGGAAAUGAAUAUUUGUUUCUGCUUCUGUUAUCUGAGUCUUGGAAGUCCAUCAGUUUGUCCCAGAAUAGAAUGUAAUAACAAUAUUAGAUGUCAAGAUUGAACAUUUACUAGUGCUACUACUAGUAGCUAGUACACUGCUUUACUUACCUUAUGGAGAGAAAAGGUAUUUCAAAUUUGAACUUUGUGCUUUGCUUUUUAUUA